rnacentral:rRNA from 1 species
GACAGAGGGGGCAAGCGUUGCUCGGAAUCACUGGGCGUAAAGGGCGCGUAGGCGGGAUGGCAAGUCGGUCGUGAAAUCCUUCGGCUCAACCGAAGAACGUCGGCCGAUACUGCCGUUCUUGAGGGAUGCAGAGGAGAUUGGAAUUCCCGGUGUAGCGGUGAAAUGUGUAGAGAUCGGGAGGAACACCGGUGGCGAAGGCGGGUCUC